CCUAUAAUUCGAAAUUUAAAUAUUUCUUCUUUUCUCGGGGACUUGAAAACCUCCCUUCUUCUACAUCCCACCUUUCUUAUAACGUGGGUUCGAUUCUUGAAAAGCGGAAUCGUGGGGAUUCACGCAAUUAACGAACUAAGAGCGUUCGUAAGACUUUGGACUAAGAGCGUCCGUAAGCAUCGAUUUAACGAACUAAGAGCGUUCGUAAGCUACGGACUAAGAGCGUUCGUGAGCAUAGAUUUUGACCAUUUAAACAUCAUUGUUUCGGUCUAAUCCAAAUAUUCUUGGAAAUCGAUUUCUUGGUAGCAUUAAGGCUCAGAAAUCUUAUAUUAGUUUUCGUGGAAGCAUUGACUCCGAAACUAAUACGUUCUUGCUUUCCUUUCAGGAUGUAAGACUUGAACGAGCUCGAUUUUACUCCAUUGGAUUCAACGGGCACAGGAUAUUUAUUUGCCUACAAUCCAAGAGCCCUGUUCUAAAGGAACCGCUCAAGACUCACAAACUGAGAUAGAAAAUUCCAGGGCAUUUACCCUGAUGAAGCGCCACAUGAAGAUGGCCCUCCAGUUUGAGUACAUGAAUGAGGAUAACGCUAACAACCUUUGGGUUGCGCCUAGUGAACGUUUUAGUAACAUUCACAACUUUUCGAACAUAGAAGCACG
rnacentral:lncRNA from 1 species